rnacentral:lncRNA from 1 species
GGUAACAAAUAUUAUAAAUGAAUAUAUGUCCUCCAACAGUCCCAAACUAUUUGUGGAUAAUAGUUGACAAGACAUAUAUCACUUUAAUACAUGGUGCAACGGGUAAUGUAACGCCAAAAGUAUUGUAAACAAUGAUCCAAAUGCACUCCUAACCUUUUCUUGCAUUUCAGACAUCCGAUCGAGUUGCAUAUAAUUUAUCUGCCACAUAUGCCAAUUUACAAGCUUUUAUUAGAAGAAGACUUAAAACUAGGACACCUCUUUCCUUGUGGAUUUUCAAAAUCUUCCACCUAAUAAAUUACUUCAGCUUUAUGUUGAGCAAGUUUAGUUUUUAAAUACUUUGAUUGUAUUAGGGUAACAAAUAUUAUAAAUGAAUAUAUGUCCUCCAACAGUCCCAAACUAUUUGUGGAUAAUAGUUGACAAGACAUAUAUCACUUUAAUACAUGGUGCAACGGGUAAUGUAACGCCAAAAGUAUUGUAAACAAUGAUCCAAAUGCACUCCUAACCUUUUCUUGCAUUUUAGACAUCCGAUCGAGUUGCAUAUAAUUUAUCUGUCGACCAUAACUUGUUAAAUGAAUG